rnacentral:sRNA from 1 species
GUCUUUGUCAAGCAACAGUAUCGAUCGCAUUCAUCAAUAACUACAGUAAAUAUCUAUAUAUCAAAAAAGUCUCCCAAGAAGAAGAAGCAGCGAACUGUUUUC